rnacentral:rRNA from 1 species
AAUGAACGCUGGCGGCGCGCCUAAUACAUGCAAGUCGAGCGAGAAGACGUAGCAAUACGUUUGUAAAGCGGCGAACGGGUGAGGAAUACAUGGGUAACCUACCCUCGAGUGGGGAAUAACUAGCCGAAAGGUUAGCUAAUACCGCGUACGCUUCUUGGACUUCGGUUCAGGGAGGAAAGCGAUGCCGAGGGUAUCGCGCUCUUGGAUGGGCUCAUGUCCUAUCAGCUUGUUGGGAGGUAACGGCUCACCAAGGCUUCGACGGGUAGCUGGUCUGAGAGGACGAUCAGCCACACUGGCACUGCGACACGGGCCAGACUCCUACGGGAGGCAGCAGUAAGGAAUAUUGCGCAAUGGGCG